GAGUGCAAAGCAAGCAGCUGUCAUUGAGAUGAAUGUGAACGGCUAGCUCUCUCCAGGAGAGUCUGAAAGCAGCUGUAUUUGUCUCCACCACUGACCAGAAUAUUCAUUCAGCUGACAAUGAUGCAGCUACAGUAUGUGUGCCGUACCUGAGGAGACCAAGCUGCUAAGUGAGAACUGCAUUACAUGUCCUGAUCUAUGAACGAGUGACCUCUGAGCAACGGGUCCAUGAGCUAGAAGUGUUCCACACCCCACGUACCCAUUCAACACAUACUGUGGAGGUAAUUCGCUCUGCCAGAGAGGGUGAGCUGUAUUCACCUUCCAGACACAUUGAGCUCUCAGCCUCUUCACACACACAGGGUUUGAUACGCUGCCCGCUGUCUUAUCUGCAUCCACAACCACAUAAACAUGCAUGCCGGCGUCCUUCCCUUCACUCGGCUGCUGUUCUCUCUCUGGAUUCACAGUCAAAUUGAUUUACUGCUGGAGCUAAUAGGAUCCACACAAGAUGUCAUUACCAAUGAGGAGAAAGAGUCACAUGUUGUGGGCACAUCACAGGAAGGUCAUUCAGUCGGGAUUCAAGGCGGUGA